AGGGCGCUUUCUCCGCGCUUCCUGGGGGUGAGGGGCGUGGGGCGAGGGCAGGGUUGUGGCUCCCUGGCCCCGGGGCUGGAAUGUCUCAUCUGCCUGGGGAUGGGCUUCUCUCAGGUUGAGGCCGCGCACUGCCAAGCCUCGGCCGCCGGCCUCUGAAGCUGUUGCGAGCGGCCGGUUGCGGUAGUCGUCUGCUUGGCCAGGAGGUUGGAUAAGAACUCCAUUUUCUGUUGAUGUGGAGACAUAGGGUACCUCCAACUUUCCGGGGUUUCAGAAGAGAAUUUUUUAUUGAAACUGGAAGACCAAAAUAAUUACAAGCAUGUUGUGCUGGGGAAAUGCAUCCUUUGGACAGCUAGGUUUGGGUGGAAUUGAUGAAGAAAUUGUACUAGAGCCCAGAAAAAGUGACUUCUUUAUAAAUAAAAGGGUCCGAGAUGUAGGAUGUGGACUCAGACAUACUGUGUUUGUUCUGGAUGAUGGAACAGUGUACACAUGUGGAUGUAAUGAUCUAGGACAGCUAGGUCAUGAAAAAUCCAGAAAGAAACCAGGACCCUACAUCUGAGGAAUUUCAAGAGCAUUACACA
rnacentral:sRNA from 1 species